AUAAAGGUGGAGGAUGGAGUUUGUGUGCAGUGACAGCUGAGUGGGGUGCAGGAACAGAGGUGCACAGUGCACAAGAUGGGAGUGGGAGAGGCUGAGGGGAUUGAAGAAGCAAGUGAAGGCCAGGGCCAGAGUCUGCUUAAACUGGAGCCACUGCCCUCUCUAGCCAGCCAUCUUCUGACCCAGGCCAGGCUUGGAGUUCUCUGAGUGUCCAUUUCUACAGGAAGUGAUUGGAAUGCACAGAGGAGAAGCAGGAGCUAUUGCCCUCUAUGUUCAGCUUUGGAGCCUCCAGUCCUGCACCCCUGUCUGUCUUGCAUCUGGUUGGGUACAGCUGUCAGAUGC